UGUCGCUUUAAGGAGUAACCCUUCUGCAUCGGUUAUUAUUACCAUCUGACGGACCUAACGGUAGGCCACCCUACGCAUAGCUGGAAACUGGAAAACCAUUCGCUGGGUCCGUUCGCCACACACAGACACCCGUUCCCGAAACGUUACCGUUACAAAGGUCUACUAUCACGAGUGGUGACUACUUUUUCCGUCGACGUUGAUGUCGCUUCUUCCUCGGUAGAGAGUCGUUAUUUUUCUUAUAUUGAAUCGAGAGCUUAUCGCAAGACAAGAUGGCAGAGAUGGGGAUGGGGAAGGGGGUUACUGCGGGGAAACUUGCCAGUAACGUGCAGAAAAAAUUAACACGGGCCCAAGAGAAGGUAAUGCAGAAGUUGGGUAAAGCAGAUGAGACCAGAGAUGUUGCAUUUGAGGAAGGAGUGAUCAACUUCAACAAACAAUAUACCGAGGGAUCCAAACUGCAAAAAGACCUUAGAGCCUACCUGGCUGCAGUACAAACAAUGCACGAAUCCUCCAAGAACCUUCAGGAGUGUCUGUCUGACAUGUACGAGCCGGAGUGGUACGGCAAAGAUGACUUGGACUCUAUCGUUGAGGACACUGAUGUUCUGUGGACCGACUUCCAUCAGAAGCUGGUUGAUAAUGCUUUGAUAUCUAUGGACACGUAUCUUGGACAGUUCCCUGAUAUUAAGUCUCGUAUUGCAAAGCGCGACAGGAAGCUUGUGGACUACGACAGCGCCAGACACAACCACUCUUCGACCAAUAAGGGGAAGAAAGGAAAGGACGGGGGUAUCAAGAUCACCAAGCCAGCAUCUCUGUUGGAAAGGGCCACACCGGUUUGGGCUCAAGGCAUCCUGUCAGCCCACAACAUUGCUCAGAGUAACCUCUCCAGGAACCAGGCGGAGGACGAGUUGGAGAGAGCUCAGAAGGUGUUUGAGGAGAUUAAUGAAGAUCUGCAGGAGGAACUGCCCUCACUAUGGAACAGUCGAGUCGGCUUCUACAUUAGCACCUUCCAGAGUAUGUCUGGCUUUGAGGAGAAGUUCCACAAGGAGAUGGGGAAGCUCGACCAGAAUCUGUACGAUAUUCUUGUCAAACUGGAGAAACAGGACAUGUCUGGUGAGCUCCCCAGAGGAGCAGAUCCAGCCAAUCACACUCUGAGUCCAGGCGGACCACCACCCAUCCCUAAGUCCCCCUCUAAGCUGAGACCAGUGAUGCCGCCGCGGCCUGAAUCCAGCCCCUGUCGGGACAUGAAACCAGAAAACAUCAUUAACCUGUUUGAUGCUGCUGCUGCUCCUAACAUCAGUGUUACGUCCCCAACACAGUUUGACAGCACUGCAGGGGCCAACCUGUUGGACAUGGACCUGUCCAUCCUGGCUGCACCAAGUCAUGGUGGCACAGCCGUGUCCUCAGCCUCUCAGGCGGUAUCAUGGGACACAUGGGAGCCUGAGGAAACUCCUGCUCCACCGGAGGAGCCCCAGGGCUGGGGGGAUGACGGUACCCUGCCAGUGCGUGCUGCUGGCUGGGAUGAUGACGGUACCCUGCCGGUGCGUGCUGCUGGCUGUGGGGAUGACGGUACCCUGCCGGUGCGUGCUGCCGGCUGGGAUGAUGACGGCACCCUGCCGGUGCGUGCUGCUGGCUGUGGGGAUGACGGUAUAGCUGCCACCACUGCAGGCUGGGAUGAUGAUGGCUCUCUGCCUGUGAGGGUGGAUGACUCCUGGGGGGACGAUGGUGUUGCUGAUGCCACUGCUUCCACUGCCGUGGCCGAGUCUGAGGCUGCUGGUUGGGAUGAUGAUGAGCAGGGGGUGCCCCAGGCUGACACACUUACGACUCCUGCAGCCCCUACAGCUGCAGCACCUACACCUGCAGCAGCAGCACCAGAAGAGACCCCUGUUGUGGCAGCAGCAGCAACCAACGGGGAUUCAGAGACGGUAGAAAUGCCUCCAGGAUUCCUCUUCAAAGUGACCACCAUGCAUGACUAUGCCGCUAAUGACUCGGAUGAGCUGGAGAUGAAGGCUGGAGACAUAGUGCUGGUUGUGGCCUUCGACAACCCAGAAGAACAGGACGAGGGCUGGCUGAUGGGGAUGAAGCAGGAAGACUGGAUCCAGAAUAAACAGAGCUCGCUCAAAGGGGUGUUCCCCGAGAACUUCACCUCCAGGCUGUGAGAGAGGAGACGCCAUAUUUAUUCUCCUCUGACUUCUCUCUCGUCCACAAGAUCCUUUAUUAUCUCCUCUCCUUUCCUCUCCUCUCCUCUCCUCUCCUCUCCUCUCCUCUCCUCUCCUCUCCUCUCCUCUCCUCUCCUCUCCUCUCCUCUC